UGGCUGGAUCAGAACUCAAACUUUACUGAGCAGUAGGGUUGAUGAGGUUUAUGUACAUACCAUAAGAUUGGAUCAAUCACAACUGAUCAGUAAAGUUUGAGUUCUGAUCCAGCCAGUUUACAACUUUUUAUCUCAAAGAUGCCAGCAUAAACAAUCCAAUAUCAACAUUGAAAAUAAAAAUUGAAAUGAGUGAAGGGAGAAUGAAUUCAGAUUCUAGCACCAAGUAAGGUCAUCAAGAACUCUCUAUAAUCCCCUGAAGUGUCAUCAUCGACUGCACCAUCAAGGUUAGUUCCGUAGAUGUUGAAAUACUCCCCCCUGAUUUUCAUUGUGUCAAUUUCAGCUCUAGUUACUAUCGCUCUAGUCAGUGAAUCUUCAUCUGUCCCAAG
rnacentral:misc_RNA from 1 species